AAUGGCAGCCCUGUAGGCUCCGCAGGAAGCGUUGACGAGGGAAUAAGGCCAGUCAUCGCGUGUGCAACUGCUAAUUUGGAAAAUUUAUUUAAAAUAACUGAAAACCUCACCUUAUAUUUUUGAUGUUGAAGUCGUUAGACUUUUUUAAGGGCGGGCUCAAACCUCUCUUUAGCUUAAUAAUACUGUACUUGUGAGAUCUUCCCACCAUGCCAAAAAGUAAACUCUCAUUAACGGAACAAGAACGAUCUCAACUAUUGCGCUACGACUUGAGUAUAAAUAGACGAAAGCUCCAAAAAAUUCCAGAAUUAAAAUUUGUUAAACACUUGGUCGCCGAGAGGUGAAAAACAUACAGCUACGUCCUUACAGAUCUCUUUUCUUUCUACUUUUUUUCUAAUCUAACUACAUAUAUAUUUUAUAUUUCAUGUAAUCAUAUUUAUAACUUCUAUUUGUAAUUAAAUUUUUUGCUUUUCGUAAAUAUUGUUAACUUAUCUUUUUACUACUCACUUUAUACUAAAAUAGCUGAUAUUAAUACUUUUUAACUAUGCAAUCUCCUACAAUUCUCUUCAAACUACAACAUCGGUUAACCAAAUCCUACGGGUCGCUUUACCAUAAGACAGUUGUUAAUAUACAUAAAACUAGCGUUAGGGCUACACAAGGCAUCCAUGAGCCUCCACCCUGAGAUCAAGUCAAGAAUUAAAAAAUUACGAGUGGCUGGCCCAUGCAUUUAGAAGAAAGUCACUUGUAAAUCCAUGAGCAAGAUAAAUGAAAUCUGCAAUGCAAGAAAGAGAAAAUGACGAGGCCGUAGAACCAUUCCCCAGUUGUUUGGACCAUGUAUCCACUCAAAUAGACUACUACCUCAUCGCUGGAAAAUGAAGAACGCCUUAGUGCAAAAAUCAGGCACAAAUCGAAAACGACCCCGCUUCUUUAUUCUUGAAACGCCUCCGUAAUUUAACGCUCUUACAUGGGAAAGUUAAACUUCUAAAUUUUUAAAAGGCUGACCCAUUCCUGCAAAGCUGUCAGAGUCGGCAUUUAAGAUCUUAGUAGCCACACAAAUAAAAACUUAUAAUUUCUGUAAUAAAGUUGACCAGAUCGAAGAGGCAUUCCUUAAUACAUAACCAAAAUUUACGAACUUAGUAAUAAAGUUGGUGGCUGAUAGCGAGGCUUACCCUCAUU